CGGUGGUCUAGAUCUGAUGUUUUUCACAGCCGUUUUAUCGCCAGAAUCGAAGCCAGAUCUGAUGUUUAUCACUGGAAUCGAAGAAAUCAGGCUAAUUUUCGACGGAUCUGAUGUUUGUCGCUGGAAUUGAAGCCAAAUCUGAUGUUUAUCGCCGGCGAUAAAACGGUGGUCCAGAUCUAAUUUCCGACCAGGUAGGUAUGAAGUUUGAGACGUCGUAAACGAGGAAAGUGGA
rnacentral:lncRNA from 1 species